rnacentral:tRNA from 1 species
GGGGAUGUAGCUUACUGGUAGAGCACUUGUCCAUCACACACAUGGCCUUGGGUUCAACCUCCAGCACUUCA